AGUGAACGCUGGCGGUAGGCCUAACACAUGCAAGUCGAACGGCAGCACAGUAAGAUCUUGCUCUUACGGGUGGCGAGUGGCGGACGGGUGAGGAAUACAUCGGAAUCUACUUUUUCGUGGGGGAUAACGUAGGGAAACUUACGCUAAUACCGCAUACGACCUACGGGUGAAAGCAGUGGAUCUUCGCACCUUGCGCGUUUGAAUGAGCCGAUGUCGGAUUAGCUAGUUGGCGGGGUAAAGGCCCACCAAGGCGACGAUCCGUAGCUGGUCUGAGAGGAUGAUCAGCCACACUGGAACUGAGACACGGUCCAGACUCCUACGGGAGGCAGCAGUGGGGAAUAUUGGACAAAGGGCGCAAGCCUGAUCCAGCCAUACCGCGUGGGUGAAGAAGGUCUUCGGGUUGUAAAGCCCUUUUGUUGGGAAAGAAAGGCAGCAGGUUAAUACCCCGCUGUUCUGACGGUACCCAAAGAAUAAGCACCGGCUAACUUCGUG
rnacentral:rRNA from 1 species